ACGAAACGCUGCAGUUUUUUCUGUUUUUUCUAGUGUUUUUCUUUUUAUUAUUAUUAUUGUAAAAAUAUGAUACACUGCCAUUCGCUGCCUAGUAGCGUGGUUCGUUAUCAGUGCAAUGCCAUCCACCAUCAGCUAUUUAUGUAAACUGAGAAAUGAGAAUUAAUAAACAUCCGUCCAUGUCAUUGUAUCGUAAUUGCGUCUCAUUAAAGCGAUAGGAAUUUCAAAUAAAAAUAUGUAUGUAUGUACAUAUAACAAUUUCUAAAAAAAAGAAAUGCUACCCAAACGCCCAAUAUCUAGCGCUUCGAUCAGUACAAUCUUAAAAUUACACUUUUACCCACAAAGCAAAGCCACACAUGCAUUGACUGUGGAAUUAUUUAUGUGCAUUCAAUAACUAUGAACGGAUGUUGGCAUCUGCAUCGUCAAAUUUGAUAUAAAUUUCAAACAAUGCAAGUAAGAAAAUUUAUGUAUCUACACAAUACACCACCCUGAUAUAAAUGACACUUCAAACAAAUUCUGACUCAGACAUGCCACUAAAAAGUUUUAUUUGAUUAUGUACAUAUUUCUUUUUCUUGUAUGCCGACAUGCCGUCAAUGACCGGAAAAGUUACAAACGACAAUUAAGUACAUAUUAAUCAAUUAAGGCAGCGUUAAACUCGUAAUUAAUUCGUUAACACAAUUAUGUUACAAUAUUGAAUGUGUGAACAUAUGAACAUUUCUUUCGAAAGUUUCUUGCCAUAGGAAACUACAAAAGAACAAAAGUAUUUCUCCUAUGCAAAUUUUUUCCCAUAAUUUAUUGUUAGCAACAACAAAAAAUGUCCAAUAGAAUGAACAAAUUGGCAUUACGCAGCUCAUGUUAUUCAUCAUAAACAAAUUUUAAUUAAUCAAUUAAGUAGUAUUUUUAGAUUUGGGACUUAAAUGUAUUGAAAAAUUGAAGUUAUCGAAAUUUUGAAAACCUACCAACCAAAUCUGAUAGUAGAUAGUUUUCACUAGAUAUAUGGGGACAAAACUUUUCAAACCUGUUUAUCCAUUGA